CGUAAUUUAAAUAUAAACACGAGGGAAGUAUUAACAAGUAGUCAGUCAGUAAACUAGUCGAGCUUCCAACAUAAAUAGAGAAGUGUUGUUCGAUGUCCUGGCGGAUGAGGAAGAAGGGGAGAAAUGCCAAGAUUUCUAUAUCGAAGUUGGAACGAGAUGCGGGUGUAGCUGGUUGCAAAACCCGGAAUUAGAAAGUCGAGUUCUCUCAUGCGGAAACUUGGAUCAUUUAUGCAAUUUUAUCAUGCCAAGAAAGAUUACCAUCAAAGUCAACAGUGCCAGAUCCAUCAGAGUCGAUCUCCUCGAUCAUGAAAUCCAGUUCCUCAUCAGUCAACUGGUCGUCCAGUUCCCUCAGGAUUUCACGCAAGCACGUAGUGGAUACACAAGAUCUGGUCAAUUUAUUCAUUGGAGUUGAGGUAAUUCUUGUGCGCCAGCCUAAACUAACAUGGAUAUACUCUGCGUCACCCUAAUCCCUAUGGAUUACAACAUUCUUUGGUAAAGUACGCAUGAAAGUUUGUCCCAUAUAUUGGAAAUAUUAAAUAAAAUGUAUGGUACGUAUCAAAUCCAGAUGUCUACACUUUUAUAAACAAUUUUAUAAAUGUAAAAUUCGGUUAUAGGAGAUUGAACAAGGUUCACGUGAUCUGACACCGCUAACGAUAGGGUCAAGAAGCGAAAAGGAAAACGACGGAACAGAGAGUGGACUAAAUUUAGUUGCGUCCAGUAAACACGAUACGAUUUCGCCGUCGACGAUCGAAAUACCGGAAAGCCAAGAAUGGCGAGGCGAAGAGCUGUACUAGUAUAUCCUGUUAAAUACAGCGAUCGUUGCAUCUUGGAAGAACCUUUAAUUUUUUUUAAUGAAUCAAACAUUAAGUCAUUGGUUUAACUGGAAGCCAGGGUGGACCUGGACAAUAUUGUUAGUAACAAUCACGGGUCAAUUUUCAAUUACGACUACAUACCAGCAAUUUGUUCAGGGGGAAGUUCGUCGGCCUGUGAACACAAAACUGGAUUGAGCUUUGGUUUCAUCGACAUUCGACAAAACAUUCGAUUAAAAACUGAAUAUCGAUUUUAAAUAAUCUGGGAAUCGACGAGCAAUUACGAAGUACGAAUUAAUUUGAUUGAGAGUCGAAGAAACUUCUUUUGCCAAUAGACGUGCAUUGUUAACCAGUGACUUCAAAGAAUUCGUGCAUUCUUUCUUAAAUUAGAAUACCAUUCUUGUCUUUGUUAUUUAAUUAAGUGCAGAAACUUGCAAGUGCGAUCGAAUUUCAACGACCUGUCCCGAGUUGUGCGACCCUUGGAACUGAUUCAACCCAAAAAAAAAUAGAAAAGUCUGUGAUUAAUCAGACAUCGAGCCUCUUUUCUCGACAUUUCUUUUGCAACGAAAUUAUUCGAUACUGAACAUUACAAUGGAUGCUAUUAAUUAAAUAUAAUGGAAUUGAUGGGGAAAAAAGAGGCUUGAGAAAGUUCGCCAUCUAAAAAACAGUCACGUUUCCAGGACCUCGCAUUCUCUGGAGCGAUCAUAUAGUUAAACUACAACCACUGUUAUUAAGAAGAAAAAAAAUGUGAAAGAAAAUUGCAGGCCAAAAGAGUGGAAGAAAAGAAAAAUAAAUGAUGAAAAAAGAGAACAGUGGAUGCAAGCAUUCCACGAGGAAGGAAUGAAUUAAUAUUUCAUAUAAGUGGAGAAUGUAACACAUGUUCUAUGAACAUUCAAAUUUUUUAUCAGAACUAUUCAUGUGGAUCUUCUACUAAAUUUGAGCAGUGUACAUCUCCAUUAAACACGUUGUCUGACACAAUAAUUAUGAUUAAUAGCACUGUUACACUAUUUUACAGAUGCAUUAUUAAUUACACUGUUGAUCCUUUCACUGUGAUUGACAGAAACUAUUAUAGUAAUCCAGUUCACAAAGAAAACACCACAGUGAAAUAGUUAAAUACUCAAUUUUUAAUAAUUCCCAUAGCAGUCAACGUGUUGCAACAUUAAUUCAUUGCCUUGAAUGUCUCACGCCAAAAGAAGUGGCAGUAGAAGACAUAAAGAACAGAUUGAAAUGACAAAGAUAGUUAAGGCGAGGCACAAUAACGAACCAGAAAAAUAGAGAGACAAAGAAAAAAUACAAUAAAUAAACAGCCUAUUAUACAAGGUAGGAAAACGUGUGUGUUUACCAGGGCGACGACUUACGAUAUCAUCAAUAGAACAUACCAUGGUGGCGCGCUUCUCUUUUCUCUACUUUCUUAUUUUUUCUUUAAUUUAAUAAACGUUACUUAAAGAGCACUAGUUGUACGUGAGUGUGUAUAGUCUGUACAAUAAUCGCGAGAAGAAAUUGGUAAUGGAAACAAUCGUGUAUGGUAUGGUGAAGCUUUGCCGUCCGUCGAACACUGUCAUGAGGAACGGCUAUCGUCGCGGUAAUAUUCGGAUAGGGCGAUAUAGCGGUUGCGUGGUGGGUCCGUACCACACCCCGCAACCUCCAGCCAAUCGCAAGCUCCUCCUUUGCUACGGGCCAAGAGAUAAAUUGCUCUUUUCCUGUUACCUCUGUCAUCGUAUAGAAUGACAAAUAAAAAGCACGGCGGCAUCGUUGCCAGAUUUUAUCCUUUAAAACGCUGUUGCCGUAUCUAUUACAAUUUGGCGGUAAAUGAUAGUUUAAAGGAAUUCAAACUUGGAGUUGCAUUUCAAUUUCAAGUAGUCCAUUUGUGAUUUCAUUAAUUACAGAAAUACUAUUAGAAGUAUGAACACAAUAGUUUCAUCGUUACAUGUAUUAAUACACAUUCUCAGACCUCUUUCACUUAAGUUGUUCUUUUUAACAUGUUUAUUCAUUAGUACUUAUUCAACUUUGUCUAAUGAAUAGAAUAGUGAAUAGA
rnacentral:lncRNA from 1 species